rnacentral:rRNA from 1 species
AUUGAACGCUGGCGGCAUGCCUUACACAUGCAAGUCGAACGGCAGCGGGGGAGAAGCUUGCUUUUCCUGCCGGCGAGUGGCGAACGGGUGAGUAAUACAUCGGAACGUGCCCUGUAGUGGGGGAUAACUAGUCGAAAGAUUAGCUAAUACCGCAUACGACCUGAGGGUGAAAGUGGGGGGCCGCAAGGCCUCAUGCUAUAGGAGCGGCCGAUGUCUGAUUAGCUAGUUGGUGGGGUAAAGGCCUACUAAGGCGACGAUCAGUAGCUGGUCUGAGAGAGCGAUCAGCCGAGCGGGGCAUGAGACAGGGCCCAGACUCCUACGGGAGGCAGCAGUGGGGAAUUUUGGACAAUGGGCGAAAGCCUGAUCCAGCAAUGCCGCGUGUGUGAAGAAGGCCGUCGGGUUGUAAAGCACUUUUGUCCGGAAAGAAAUGGCUCUGGUUAAUACCUGGGGUCGAUGACGGUACCGGAAGAAUAAGGACCGGCUAACUACGUGCCAGCCGCCGCAGUAA